rnacentral:rRNA from 1 species
ACUCCUACGGGAGGCAGCAGUGGGAGUAUUGCAUCAAUGAGGAAAGCAUCUGAUGCAGCAACGCCGCGUGGAGGAUGACACUUUUCGGAGCGUAAACUCCUUUUAUAUAGGAAGAUAAUGACGGUACUAUAUGAAUAAGCACCGGCUAACUCCGUGCCAGCAGCCGCGGUAAUACGGAGGGUGCAAGCGUUACUCGGAAUCACUGGGCGUAAAGAGCGUGUAGGCGGGUUAUUAAGUCAGAAGUGAAAUCCUAUGGCUCAACCAUAGAACUGCUUUUGAAACUGGU